UUAAAGGGUCACACAGUGUAAGCCUUAGAAAUACUAAACAAGAAGACUUAAAAUAAGGUAUUGAUAUUAAUAAAAAUUAAUAUCCUCAAACAUUUCCUUACUUUAGUGGCUUUGAAACUGAGAUUUAUGUGACAAAACAUAUGUAAGGCUGUGAUAUCAGUUUGAAUUACCUCAAUAUGACUAAACUAGUUGGGUUAAAGACAGUUUUAUGUUGUCUGCGACGUAUUACGCUUGUUACAAUGAAUAGCUCAAAAUAAAAUUAAAAAGUGUUCAUUUCUCCACAGAGAUUUACUUCUCUUGAGUAUGGUUUAAAUAUGUAUCUAUUAAAAACAUCCUCAAAUAAACCAGGCAGUUCAAAGUGAGGCAGAAAUCUGUUUUUAAAGUCGAUUUCCAUCAAGAAGAUUAAGUUCUCCUUGAGAUAAAUCGGAGGGUGUCACAGCAGGAUAAAUGAGAUGUGGAAUAAAAAAUGUGUCUUUUCCCUUUAUUUUUCUGUAAAAUGCAUCUAAUUAUAUCUUUUUGGGCUUUUCCAGUCAAACAGUGAAGGCAUCCAAAGCAACCAUAAUAUAUUCAGCCAGUUUGACAGACACUGAGUGAGCCUAGUCCUAAAUUAAAAGAAAAUUUCACUGAAGAUCUCCUCUGAAAAUUGUUUUAAAUCUAAGUCCAUGUCUGGGAAACUGAGCCAUACUGUCUGCAUGAAUCUCAUCUAACAAUGUUCACUUAAUGAAAACAGUAAGAGGGAUGGGAGUUUUCCUCUCCUGCAGGAAGCUCCUCUCCCGUCUGAGAAACGGAGGCAGCAGGAAUGAUGAUCAGACUGGGAAGACUGACACCGGGAUACUUCCGCCUCCUCCAGAGGCAGAUGUCGGGUGAGGUCCAGAUUCAGCCGCAGAGCAGCCUCAUCGAUCCUAUCGCCAUGACGAUGGCCGCGGUGGGGAUGGGAGUGUCUCUGUACAGCGCCAGGCGGAUGUCAGAGAGAGUCCAGCUGAAGCGGCCAAACGCCUGAGAGAUCUCACCUGUUCAGUUUCUGCUGCGCGGGCGGUUCAUGCGACGUGUGUUUGUGAACGUCAGAGAAAGUCAGCGGAGGAGGAGUGUGUUUAUGUGUGUGGGUGUGUCUGUGUGGUGCUAGAAGGAAAGUCUAAGUGUCCCCGAAGGAAAAUGUGAGUCGGUCAUCAGCAUGUCACAUGUGUGAAGCUGUAGUUUGAUAACCCUACGUGUUGUGUGCAGGAUGUCAGAGAUUUGUACUUUAAUUCAAUUAAUCAUCAAUUAACAAACAGCAUUAGAGUUUAGUUUUAAUUUAAAAAUGUGUAUAAUACAGAUGUAAUUCAGUUCAAUUUUAUUUAUAUAGAACCAAAUCACAACAAGUCGCCUCAAGGUGCUUUUUAUUGUGAGUUAAAAAUCCUACAGUAAUACAAGGAAAACAGAAAAAAGCCCAACAAUGAUUAGACCCCCUAUGAACAAGUGCUUUGGUGACAGUGGGAAGGAAAAACUCCUUUUUAACAGGAAGAAACAUCCAGCAGAACUAAUAUAAGUUGAAAAUCUUACAAAGUUAUUUUAUUCAUUAAUAUUAGUCACAAACGCACCUUUCCAGGCAUUUCUGGUAGUUUUUAUAUAAAUUAUCUGAGUAUUUCUUCACUAAUCACACUAAGCAUCUCCGAAGCAUCUUCGAACGACUUACUGAAGAAAAUGUCUGUAAAUGUAAGAUGCUAACUCAGAGAUAUCUACACUGCUUUGUGCGUCUAAUAAAAAUGUUCACAUUUUCUGA